rnacentral:rRNA from 1 species
AUACGGAGGAUGCGAGCGUUAUCCGGAUUUAUUGGGCGUAAAGCGUGCGCAGGCGGUUUUGUAAGACAGUGGUGAAAUCCCCGGGCUCAACCUGGGAACUGCCAUUGUGACUGCAAGGCUGGAGUGCGGCAGAGGGGGAUGGAAUUCCGCGUGUAGCAGUGAAAUGCGUAGAUAUGCGGAGGAACACCGAUGGCGAAGGCAAUCCCCUGGGCCUGCACUGACGCUCAUGCACGAAAGCGUGGGGAGCAAACAGGAUUAGAUACCCUGGUAGUCCACGCCCUAAACGAUGUCAACCGGUUGUUGGGGAUUUAUUUUCUCAGUAACGAAGCUAACGCGUGAAGUUGACCGCCUGGGGAGUACGGCCGCAAGGUUAAAACUCAAAUGAAUUGACGGGG